rnacentral:lncRNA from 1 species
GUCAUUCUGAUGACACUUCAGCAAAUGUGAUGGUGGCCAAGGACUCUCAACACAAGGAGUCACCUUCAAUUUGGAAGUUGGCACAGCUUAGUUUUCCGGAGUGGCUAUAUGCGGUAUUAGGGAGUAUUGGUGCUGCCAUCUUUGGUUCUUUCAACCCUCUUUUAGCUUACGUCAUUGCGUUGGUAGUGACGGCAUACUAUACUAGCAAGGGAAGCCACCUGCGUGAGGAGGUUGACAAGUGGUGCUUGAUCAUUGCUGGCAUGGGACUAGUCACAGUUGUUGCAAAUUUCCUGCAGCACUUCUACUUUGGUAUUAUGGGGGAGAAAAUGACGGAGAGAGUGCGAAGGAUGAUGUUCUCAGGUACUGCAUUAUUUUCUUCUUUAUUUAUUUCAGUGCACUACAUGUUACUGCUUUCACUUGCCUCAUUUCAUUAUUUUUUCUCUGAUUGUACCAGCGAUGCUGCGUAAUGAAGUGGGAUGGUUUGACGAAGAAGAGAAUAGUCCAGAUACGCUUUCCAUGCGCCUAGCAAAUGAUGCCACUUUUGUCCGAGCCGCCUUCAGCAACAGACUUUCGAUACUUAUUCAGGAUAGUUUUGCUGUUAUUGUUGCCGUUCUUAUUGGGUUGCUGCUCGGUUGGCGUUUGGCCCUUGUUGCAUUGGCAACUUUGCCUGUACUAACUCUCUCUGCCAUUGCUCAGGUUUGUUUCGUUUCUUACUCUUCCUCCAAAAACCCAUAUUUUACGCACAAGAAGGCUUAGAAUCUUUUUUCUUAUGUUUUUUUUGGUUUAACCAAUUGUUUACCCUUUGUCAAAGUGUGAAUCUCUCUAUCUCUGUCAUGCACUUAGCUUAAUAACCCUCAAAAAUUUCCAGAAACUUUGGCUUGCUGGAUUUUCAAAGGGCAUCCAGGAGAUGCAUAGAAAGGCGUCUUUAGUACUCGAGGAUGCAGUCAGAAACAUAUAUACUGUUGUUGCUUUCUGUGCUGGUAACAAGGUGAUGGAACUCUACAGACUACAGCUUCAACGGAUACUCAAGCAGAGCUUUCUCCACGGGAUGGCUAUUGGCUUUGCCUUCGGCUUCUCACAGUUCCUCCUCUUCGCCUGCAACGCGCUCCUCCUCUGGUACACCGCGUUUUCAGUACACCGCGGAUACAUGAAACUGUCAACAGCUCUAACCGAGUACAUGGUUUUCUCCUUUGCUACAUUUGCCCUUGUCGAGCCAUUCGGGUUAGCACCUUACAUUCUCAAGCGCCGCAAGUCACUCGCUUCAGUAUUUGAAAUCAUAGAUCGAGUGCCUACGAUAGAACCUGAUGACACCUCAGCUCUAAGCCCCCCUAACGUCUAUGGAAGCAUUGAACUGAAAAACAUCGACUUCUGCUACCCAACUCGCCCGGAAGUGUUGGUACUAAGCAACUUCAGUCUCAAAAUCAGCGGAGGACAAACAUUAGCUGUAGUUGGUGUUUCUGGUUCUGGAAAAAGCACAAUCAUAUCAUUGAUCGAGAGAUACUACGAUCCAGUCGCUGGUCAGGUCUUCUUAGACGGGAGAGACUUAAAGUCAUAUAACUUGAGAUGGUUAAGAAGCCAUAUGGGUCUGAUUCAACAAGAACCCAUAAUCUUCUCCACAACGAUCAGAGAAAACAUUAUCUACGCAAGGCAUAACGCGAGCGAAGCUGAGAUGAAGGAAGCAGCAAGAAUCGCAAACGCACACCAUUUCAUCAGCAGCUUAGCUCACGGUUACGACACACAUAUAGGGAUGAGAGGUGUUGAGCUUACACAAGGACAGAAACAGAGAAUCGCUAUAGCUCGAGUAGUGCUGAAGAACGCUCCGAUAUUGCUGAUCGAUGAAGCGAGCUCGUCUAUUGAAUCAGAGUCCAGCCGCGUCGUGCAGGAGGCUCUUGAUACUUUGAUAAUGGGGAACAAAACGACGAUCCUGAUAGCGCACAGAGCGGCGAUGAUGAGACAUGUGGACAACAUUGUGGUUUUAAAUGGAGGCAAAAUAGUUGAAGAAGGUACGCAUGAUGCUUUAGCUGGUAAGAACGGCUUGUAUGUGCGUUUAAUGCAACCACAUUUUGGCAAGGGUCUACGCCAACAUCGAUUGAUCUAAAGAGAGAUUGAACUCUGACACGUAAGGAUGAUGUAAUGCCACGGGAUACUAUUAUUGGAUGCGAUCACUGGACAUAACUUGCAGUCUGUUCAAGGCUUAUGAGUAGAAGUUGUACAACCACGGUUAGUUUCUGUAAGAAAAGUAGGAGCGUGUAGACAGACGUAGAUUCCCAUAUUCUUUUCAGGAGAGAAGAGCAAUGAAGAAGUAGCACUGUGUUUAUUCAUUGCUUGCUCUUAAGGUAUAUCAUUUUGUUUAUUGAAACUCUGAAGAUUAGAGGAAGUUGGUUUGUUUUUGUUGUUGGUGUGAGUGAUUUAGGUGGAGAAUGUGUAAUGGGUAGGAAGAAAGAUGAACAAAAGACAGUCUGUUUUGUAAAUACAUUUGUAUCCACUUUUAUUUGGCAGUUCUUUUUAAUGCAAGUUUGAUUGAAAUUUCAUCUCUAUUAUUGAACCAAAACAUCACUGGAGUUGUAGAGAAUUGAAAUCUACAUAGAGUUUUGUAACCACAGAGAGAGUAUAGAUAAAGAGUAACAAUAGAUUGUUCAUUAUGUUGUCAAAUCUGAAGAAUCUUCAAAGAGUCUGCAACAACUUCUAGCUGCUUCUUCACUUUUCUCCAUCUUCUCUCGUUUGCUCCAACAAUGAGUGUGUAGUAUCUGUCUGCAACAUCAAAACCAGUAAAAACUUUGUUAUUCCUCGCUUUCUUCUCUCAUUUAUCAGUGAAGCUAUAUCAUGUCUUUGUAUAAUCUAUGCUUACUGUUUCCAACUGCCACUGUUGCAAAGCAAGUGGUUGCAUAGAUGGGAGUUCUUAGUCCAUACUCAAACGUGUAAUAGCUCUUUUCAUCCUCCACCCUCUGCAUUUUCAGCUUUUUCUUUAUAAAGAUCCAGUCACUGAUACUUUGAUGAUUCUUUAAGAUUAGCAACAAAGAUAAGAAGUGAAUCUGACCUCUUUCAUAUCGUAGAUUGUAGCUACUUGGUUUGGUGCUGCAAACUUAUGCUUCACUAGAUCAUAAACCACCUGAUUAUGACACAAGAAUAUUUAAUCUCAAAUGAUAUUAGAGAGAAAGAGGGACAGUAAGAUGUGUAUUACAUACCUCUUCCAUUGGACCCACUUCGCGGAUGUCUGUUUUCUCUGUUGGUAUGAACCUGACACGAACACUCUGUAGCUGCAAAUAUCUAUCCUUGAAGGCUGAAUCAUGUGCCCUGAAGUCAAAUUCCUAUAAUACAAGUUCGCCCGGAAUAAGACCAUCUCAAAGCUUAUUCAUUUAAGAUGUCAUCCUUACAAUAACUAGAACCAAAGCCAUAGCUUACCCACCCUCCAGUCUGAUGGGUAAUAAUAAGAAUAUCCGUCUUCUUUAUCCACAAAAGCUGAGUAGCUUUUUGGUACCUCUGCAGAAACAUUACAAGACCAAACAAAGUUAUGCUUUUGGUACCAAAAGAAUGAAGAAGAGAAGUCAGUUUUUGGCAGAUUGCCUUCAGCAAGAAGCAAAGUUUCUGGAACUGAAGUUGCUAGUAAAGUUCCUACUCCCACAAGCGCUUGCCUUCUCUUCCAACUGAUUCCACUUCCUUUUUGAUAGGCUAUUCAAGUGUCAUUCAUCAUCGAAAUCAGUUCAAAGGCCAAGAACACUGUCAACAAGAGUUUGGUUUCUUACUAUUCUCGGAGGAGUCAAGAUUGUAGCCGGAUGAAAGUGAACAUGAAGCUCUGAGUGAUGGGCUUGGACAGUGAAUAUCCGUCUGAUAAAGAAAAUGUGUAAUAAUCAGAAACCGAGAUAAAGAUGAAUAAGAGCAGUUUUACUAACCUUGUGGGAGAUUGUUGGUGAAAGACAAUAGCGGAUUGAGAGUGAAGAGACUGCCAUAAUGGCUACAACUUGCAAGACUUCAGAUGAGAUAUGAUCAUUGCCUUAUGUUUUGCCUGUUGGGAUAAGAGACCUCUAUUUUUGUCAUUUCUCAAUUUUCUCCAUUCAUACUAACAUGUGGAUAAUGAAAAAUCCAAACAAACAUGUGGUGCCAGCAAACUAAAGAUGAAGCGAUUGCUUUUGUAUCUUUGCAUUUCACAAGUUUAUAUAAAGAGUUAAAAAGAUUGCCGAGAAGCCCAAAAACAGAGGAAACUGAAUUCAACAUUAAACAAGAAUGUUUUGUAGAAAAAGAUGAUGGCAGAUAAUAUCUCAAAGCAAAACUGAGUCUACAAGCGACAAAAACACAAGUCUGUUUCAUAUAAUAGCAGGAGGUAGAUAGACUUAGAUGAUGCCAAUCUUGUUAGCAACAUCUAACGCAUCAUAGUCCGGUGUGAGCCUAACGUAAGCCUUCUUCGUUCCAUCAGGCCUGCACCAAAAACCAAUUGUGUCAAAUACAUAUCAAAGCACAAUCAAACUCACAAGCCACUAAAGAAAACUAUCUUCUGACAUACCUGAUGAGGGUGUUAACCUUCUUGGUCUGGAUGUCGUACAUCUUCUUAACAGCAUCUUUGAUCUUCUUCUUGUCGGCACGAAUGUCAACAAUGAAGACAAGAGUGUUGUUGUCCUCAAUUUUCUUCAUGGCAGACUCGGUGGUGAGUGGGUACUUGAGGAUACCGUAAUGGUCCAACUUGUUCCUGGGAGUUGCACUGAUCCUGGGGUACUUGGGAUCUCUAGCCUUGGUCAAGGUCUUUGGCCUGUGGAAGGUGACCUUAGUCCUGAUCUUUUUGUCCUUCUUCUUGAAGGCUUGACCAGACUUCACUGCCUUUGCAGCCUUCAGGGCCUUGGCCUUUGGGUCGGCCUUCUUCGUGGUAUCAACUGCAAUGAACACAAGUAACUUAGAAUACUUACAGAUCAUUUGAACACCAUCUAGAAGUGAAGCUAAGUACUUUACAAAACGUGGUUACAAAGCAUCAAUACAAGACUAGUUACUACCGUUUGCAUUCAACAUAAGUCUUUUGUAAGAGAUUCAAAUCAAACAAGAAGAACGUAUUGAAUCUCAUUAACAACGCCAAAGAUCGUACCUUUAGCCGGAGACAUUGCUCUGAACGAUCCUUUCCGACGCAAGAUCUAUCAGACAAAACCAAACUUUGUUAAAAUCCAUACAAAGAAAUGUACUCCAGCUACAGGACGUAGCAGUGGAGAAGGCAAGAGACAGGACGAACCUGGAGAGGUGAAGCAGCUGAAACCCUAGUUCAUUUCUCAGCGGCGGAGAGUUAUAUUGUGGAAGCCACGGAACCCUAGAUUACUUGGGCCUUUAGUAUUAUUAUGGGCCUUUUAUCGUAUAAGCCCAAAUUAAAAUUUACCCGCCAUAAUAUCACGGAUCUCAUUAAAAAAAUCUUAGAACGAUGUCGUUUAGCGAUGGCCAUGUCACGAGAUGUAUAGUUGGAGUUUAAUGUAGACGUGUCAAGAAAGCGGUCGCCAAUCACGUGCGAGAUACUAAAACCACUUAGAGGUCGCCACGUAAGACAUUUGUUAAAGACGCUUCAUCUCGUGUCUGGUCCAAAGUAUCUAUGUGGUCACUGAUAUACGUCGACCACACCAGUCGUACUAGCUAGUGUUAGUCCCCCCCCCCCCCCGGGGUUGCUUACGUAAUUACCGAAAUACCCUCGCCGUAUCUUCAAAUUUUUCAUUCCUUACUUUUACUGCGAAUGUUAUUGCUAGCAGGCAGACAAGACCAAGCUUCAUCUCUUCAAAGCUGUCUCGCCUCCGCCGCCUAAUCUCUAUCUCACCGAAGUAAUGGCUAGGCCAGAUGGAGAAGAAGGGAUAUUGCUGCUCGAGUUUCACGGCAACGGUGACCGUUCCUGGCAGCUAAACUUCGAUGAUUUUCAGGUUUCACCGGAGCACAAGGAGAAGAAAUCGCCGAGCAAGCUCCAUAACUGUCUUGGUUGCUUGGGUAAAUGAUCUCUUCUCCUCUCCACAUUUACAUUUAUUUUUGUCUGAUUAGGACAAGGCUAGUCUAUAGAGAGACAAAUGAGUUGAUAUGUUUGGGAUUGGUUUGACUUUUUUUGAGUUUGGCUACUUUGCUUUGCUAUUUUUAGCUUUUGUUGAUUCUUUAAAAAAGUGUGAAGAAGCGACAAAGCUACCAAGACGGUAUGAUUCUCCAGCCAAAACAUAUGUAUCUAUGUAAAAGUUGACUCUGACGAUUGUAUGGAAUUUUUAUCUUCUUACAGGAUGCCAGUUAGGAACUACAAUGACUCUGCUGGGUUCCAGCCUGAGAGGGAUUCUUCAGCUGGUCGUGGCUUCCAAGAACCAUCAUCACCCAAAAUGGCCAAGUCUCCAUCUCUUCAGAGAGGUCAUAACGUUUUCCGUCCCCAGGAAAUGUACUUCAACAGGGAAGAGUCACCCAAUGAUCAUAGCCCUGCUCCAGAGAAAAUGGGAGAAAACGGUUCGUCUUUGGAUGUCGCUGAUAAGGAACCAACCAUUAAAAGACAAGAUAGCUUCGAGAUGCGGUUACCAGAACUACCAAAAAUUGACAUUCAGUGUCCAGAACGUCAAAAGUCAAAUGGUUCAGAUCCGGAGUCCCCUAUAUCACCCCUUCUGAUAUCAGAUCCCCAAAAUGAGCGCUCCCAUUCACAGACGUUUAGCCGCCCUCAUGGUCAUUCUGAUGACACUUCAGCAAAUGUGAUGGUGGCCAAGGACUCUCAACACAAGGAGUCACCUUCAAUUUGGAAGUUGGCACAGCUUAGUUUUCCGGAGUGGCUAUAUGCGGUAUUAGGGAGUAUUGGUGCUGCCAUCUUUGGUUCUUUCAACCCUCUUUUAGCUUACGUCAUUGCGUUGGUAGUGACGGCAUACUAUACUAGCAAGGGAAGCCACCUGCGUGAGGAGGUUGACAAGUGGUGCUUGAUCAUUGCUGGCAUGGGACUAGUCACAGUUGUUGCAAAUUUCCUGCAGCACUUCUACUUUGGUAUUAUGGGGGAGAAAAUGACGGAGAGAGUGC